GGAUUGUGGCUCAGCGGUAGAGCAAUCGCCUAGCACGGCGGGACCUGGGUUCGAUCCUCAGCACCA
rnacentral:tRNA from 1 species